rnacentral:rRNA from 1 species
UAAGGAAUAUUGGUCAAUGGACGCAAGUCUGCACCAGCCAUGCCGCGUGAAGGAUGAAGGUCCUCUGGAUUGUAAACUUCUUUUAUCUGGGACGAAAACGGGAUUUUUAUCUCAAUUGACGGUACCAGAGGAAUAAGCACCGGCUAACUCCGUUCCAGCAGCCGCGGUAAUACGGAGGGUGCGAGCGUUAUCCGGCUUUACUGGGUUUAAAGGGUGCGUAGGUGGGCUUAUAAGUCAGUGGUGAAAUCCUACAGCUUAACUGUAGAACUGCCUUGGAUACUUGGAUUCUUGAGUUCGGGAGAGAGAGACGGAAUUCCAGGUGUAGUGGUGAAAUACGUAGAUAUCUGGAAGAACACCAGUUGCGAAGGCGGUCUCUUGGUCCGACACUGACGCUGAGGCGCGAAAGCGUGGGGAGCAAACA